UGGGGAAUUUUGGACAAUGGGGGCAACCCUGAUCCAGCAAUGCCGCGUGUGUGAAGAAGGCCUUCGGGUUGUAAAGCACUUUUGUCCGGGAAGAAAUCGCACCUGAUAAUACCGGGUGUGGAUGACGGUACCGGAAGAAUAAGGACCGGCUAACUACGUGCCAGCAGCCGCGGUAAUACGUAGGGUCCAAGCGUUAAUCGGAAUUACUGGGCGUAAAGCGUGCGCAGGCGGUUGUGCAAGACCGAUGUGAAAUCCCCGGGCUUAACUUGGGAAUUGCAUUGGUGACUGCACGGCUAGAGUGUGUCAGAGGGGGGUAGAAUUCCACGUGUAGCAGUGAAAUGCGUAGAGAUGUGGAGGAAUACCGAUGGCGAAGGCAGCCCCCUGGGAUAACACUGACGCUCAUGCACGAAAGCGUGGGGAGCAAACAGG
rnacentral:rRNA from 1 species